CAGUAGCCGCGGGAAUACGAAGGGUGCAAGCGUUACUCGGAAUUACUGGGCGUAAAGCGUGCGUAGGUGGUGGUUUAAGUCCGUUGUGAAAGCCCUGGGCUCAACCUGGGAAUUGCAGUGGAUGCUGGGUCACUAGAGUGUGGUAGAGGAUAGUGGAAUUUCCGGUGUAGCAGUGAAAUGCGUAGAGAUCGGAAGGAACAUCUGUGGCGAAGGCGACUAUCUGGGCCAACACUGACACUGAGGCACGAAAGCGUGGGGAGCAAACAGGAUUAGAUACCCCGGUAGUCCCUGUCUCUUAUAA
rnacentral:rRNA from 1 species